GAUGAACGCUGGCGGCGUGCCUAAUACAUGCAAGUCGAGCGAACAGACGAGGAGCUUGCUCCUCUGACGUUAGCGGCGGACGGGUGAGUAACACGUGGAUAACCUACCUAUAAGACUGGGAUAACUUCGGGAAACCGGAGCUAAUACCGGAUAAUAUAUUGAACCGCAUGGUUCAAUAGUGAAAGACGGUUUUGCUGUCACUUAUAGAUGGAUCCGCGCCGCAUUAGCUAGUUGGUAAGGUAACGGCUUACCAAGGCAACGAUGCGUAGCCGACCUGAGAGGGUGAUCGGCCACACUGGAACUGAGACACGGUCCAGACUCCUACGGGAGGCAGCAGUAGGGAAUCUUCCGCAAUGGGCGAAAGCUUGACGGAGCAACGCCGCGUGAGUGAUGUAGGUCUUCGGAUCGUAAAACUCUGUUAUUAGGGAAGAACAAAUGUGUAAGUAACGAUGCACGUCUUGACGGUACCUAAGCAGAAAGCCACGGCUAACUACGU
rnacentral:rRNA from 1 species